rnacentral:rRNA from 1 species
GAGUUUGAUCAUGGCUCAGGACGAACGCUGGCGGCGUGCCUAAUACAUGCAAGUCGAACGCUUCUUUUUCCACCGGAGCUUGCUCCACCGGAAAAAGAGGAGUGGCGAACGGGUGAGUAACACGUGGGUAACCUGCCCAUCAGAAGGGGAUAACACUUGGAAACAGGUGCUAAUACCGUAUAACAAUCGAAACCGCAUGGUUUUGAUUUGAAAGGCGCUUUCGGGUGUCGCUGAUGGAUGGACCCGCGGUGCAUUAGCUAGUUGGUGAGGUAACGGCUCACCAAGGCCACGAUGCAUAGCCGACCUGAGAGGGUGAUCGGCCACAUUGGGACUGAGACACGGCCCAAACUCCUACGGGAGGCAGCAGUAGGGAAUCUUCGGCAAUGGACGAAAGUCUGACCGAGCAACGCCGCGUGAGUGAAGAAGGUUUUCGGAUCGUAAAACUCUGUUGUUAGAGAAGAACAAGGAUGAGAGUAACUGUUCAUCCCUUGACGGUAUCUAACCAGAAAGCCACGGCUAACUACGUGCCAGCAGCCGCGGUAAUACGUAGGUGGCAAGCGUUGUCCGGAUUUAUUGGGCGUAAAGCGAGCGCAGGCGGUUUCUUAAGUCUGAUGUGAAAGCCCCCGGCUCAACCGGGGAGGGUCAUUGGAAACUGGGAGACUUGAGUGCAGAAGAGGAGAGUGGAAUUCCAUGUGUAGCGGUGAAAUGCGUAGAUAUAUGGAGGAACACCAGUGGCGAAGGCGGCUCUCUGGUCUGUAACUGACGCUGAGGCUCGAAAGCGUGGGGAGCAAACAGGAUUAGAUACCCUGGUAGUCCACGCCGUAAACGAUGAGUGCUAAGUGUUGGAGGGUUUCCGCCCUUCAGUGCUGCAGCUAACGCAUUAAGCACUCCGCCUGGGGAGUACGACCGCAAGGUUGAAACUCAAAGGAAUUGACGGGGGGCCCGCACAAGCGGUGGAGCAUGUGGUUUAAUUCGAAGCAACGCGAAAGAACCUUACCAGGUCUUGGACAUCCUUUUGACCACUCUAAAAGAUAGAGCUUCCCCUUCGGGGGCAAAGUGACAGGUGGUGCAUGGUUGUCGUCAGCUCGUGUCGUGAGAUGUUGGGUUAAGUCCCGCAACGAGCGCAACCCUUAUUGUUAGUUGCCAUCAUUCAGUUGGGCACUCUAGCAAGACUGCCGGUGACAAACCGGAGGAAGGUGGGGAUGACGUCAAAUCAUCAUGCCCCUUAUGACCUGGGCUACACACGUGCUACAAUGGGAAGUACAACGAGUCGCGAAGUCGCGAGGCUAAGCUAAUCUCUUAAAGCUUCUCUCAGUUCGGAUUGCAGGCUGCAACUCGCCUGCAUGAAGCCGGAAUCGCUAGUAAUCGCGGAUCAGCACGCCGCGGUGAAUACGUUCCCCGGGCCUUGUACACACCGGCCCGUCACACCACCGAGAGUUUUGUAACACCCGAAAGUCCGGUGAGGUAACCUUUUUGGGAGCCGGCC